CAGGUCCUCAGACAGACCAGCCCAAGAAACAUCUCACCAAUUUCAAAUCUGGACCCCACUGAAAAUCAGGCUGUUCAACUCACCUGGUAGCCACUUCCAGAGCACCUGGAACUCUGGCCCAAGGCUCUCUGACUCCUUCCCAGAUCUUCUCAGCUUCGCGGCUGAAGACUGACGCUGCCCGAUCGCCUCAGAAGCCCCCUAGACCAUCACGGAUGGCGAGCUUCAGGUAACUCUUACAGUGGAGGAAGCCACAGGCAGAAACAAGGAGAGAAGAAAGGAGUAACGAAUCGGUGAUGGAACAGGAAGGAAUCAACUGAGGGAAGCAAAGGGCUGCUGAGUCACAAGCAUGACAGGCAACUAGAAUCAGCCCGGGCUCCCCAGAGCUGCUGCUCAUCCUGAACACUGCGGGCUUGCUCAGAAUUUCCUGGCUGUCCUUUCAGACUUCGUGUGCAUCGUGACAAUACGCCACUCUCACCUAAGGAAAUCUAAGGAUGUCGCUACCCUGAAAUAGCCAAAUACUCCAGUUGAAUCUAUUUGUUAAAGCUUGGUCAACCAGAUUUGUUUCUAAGGAGACACUGAC